GGUUGGGUAACAUAAUGGUAAUGUAUGGGAUUGCAAAUCCUAUAAUGGCAGUUCGAUUCUGCCCUCAACCU
rfam:Auxenochlorella protothecoides strain 0710 contig1223, whole genome shotgun sequence.